rnacentral:rRNA from 1 species
CCUACGGGGGGCUGCAGUAGGGAAUAUUGGACAAUGGAGGAAACUCUGAUCCAGCCAUCCCGCGUGAAGGAUUAAGGUCCUAUGGAUUGUAAACUUCUUUUCUUUGGGAAGAAAAUCUCCGAUUCCUCGGAGCUUGAAGGUACCAGGGGAAUAAGCACCGGCUAACUCCGUGCCAGCAGCCGCGGUAAUACGGAGGGUGCAAGCGUCACUGGGAUUCACGGGGUCGAAAGUGGUUUUGUAAGGCAGUGGUGAAAGCCUACAGCUUAACUGUAGAAUUGCCAUUGAUACUGCUUAACUUGAAUCAAGUCGAAGUGGAUGGAAUAGAUCAUGUAGCGGUGAAAUGCUUAGAUAUGAUUUAGAACACCAAUUGCGAAGGCAGUUCACUAGGCUUGUAUUGACACUGAGGCACGAAAGCGUGGGGAUCAAACAGGAUUAGAUACCCGGGUAGUC